rnacentral:rRNA from 1 species
AUUGAACGCUGGCGGCAUGCCUUACACAUGCAAGUCGAACGGCAGCACGGGGCAACCUGGUGGCGAGUGGCGAACGGGUGAGUAAUGCAUCGGAACGUACCUUUCAGUGGGGGAUAACGUAGCGAAAGUUACGCUAAUACCGCAUAUUCUGUGAGCAGGAAAGCAGGGGAUCGCAAGACCUUGCGCUGAUUGAGCGGCCGAUGUCAGAUUAGCUAGUUGGUGAGGUAAAGGCUCACCAAGGCGACGAUCUGUAGCGGGUCGGAGAGGAGGAUCCGCCACACUGGAACUGAGACACGGUCCAGACUCCUACGGGAGGCAGCAGUGGGGAAUUUUGGACAAUGGGGGCAACCCUGAUCCAGCCAUGCCGCGUGAGUGAAGAAGGCCUUCGGGUUGUAAAGCUCUUUCGGCCGGGAAGAAAUCGCACGGGCUAAUACCCUGUGUGGAUGACGGUACCGGAAUAAGAAGCACCGGCUAACUACGUGCCAGCCGCCGCUGUAAAAC